rnacentral:rRNA from 1 species
ACCGCUAGCUUACCCACCAAUAACUGAAAAAUAUAAAUAAACAAAAUAAGCCAGGCACCAAAGACUUAAACCAUUCUUUUACCUAAGUACGGGAGACAGAAAAGGUCACACAAAGCAAUAGAGAUAGUACCGCAAGGGAAAGCUGAAAGAGAGGUGAAACAGCCCAUAUAAGCACAAAAAAGCAAAGAUUAAACCCUGUACCUUUUGCAUCAUGAUUUAGCCAGUACACCCAAGCAAAGAGACCUUUAGUUUGAAACCCCGAAACCAGGUGAGCUACCCCGAGACAGCCUAUUAAGGGCCAACCCGUCUCUGUGGCAAAAGAGUGGGAAGAGCUCCGGGUAGAAGUGACAGACCUACCGAACCUGGUGAUAGCUGGUUGCCUAAGAGAUGAAUAGAAGUUCAGCCUCAUGCUCCUCAAAUCAAGACACAAGCAAGACACCAAGAGAUAUACAUGAGAGUUAGUUGAAGGGGGUACAGCCCCUUUAACAAAGGACACAACCUUUCCAGGAGGAUAAAGAUCAUAAUAUAUAAAACACACCGUUUCAGUGGGCCUAAAGGCAGCCACCUAAACAGAAAGCGUUAAAGCUCAGACGGAAAGAAGUUUAUUAUCCUGAUAAAUAAUCUUACUCCCCUAAUUACUACUAGGCCAACCCAUGCCUACAUGGAAGAGACUAUGCUAAAAUGAGUAACAAGAAGGCCCGCCCUUCUCCUAGCACAAGUGUAAGCAAAAUCGGACCCGCCAUUGGCAAUUAACGAACUCAACCCCAGAGAGCAAUGUGGACUACAAGAAAACCAAGAAAAACUCACAACCCACCUAUCGUUACCCCCACACUGGAGUGCAUUAAAGGAAAGACUAAAAGAAGGGGAAGGAACUCGGCAAACACAAGCCUCGCCUGUUUACCAAAAACAUCGCCUCCUGCAACAUAACCAAGUAUAGGAGGUCCAGCCUGCCCAGUGACAACAAGUUUAACGGCCGCGGUAUCCUGACCGUGCGAAGGUAGCGCAAUCACUUGUCUUUUAAAUAGAGACCUGUAUGAAUGGCCAAACGAGGGCUUAACUGUCUCCCCCUUCAAGUCAGUGAAAUUGAUCUACCCGUGCAGAAGCGGU